UUUUUCUCAUCUCAGCUGGCAGCCUUAUUCCGCUUCAGUAAAGACAAGGUACAGAAAUGUCCUUUGGGUGACAUUCAAAACUCGAUAUAAAUCCUCGGCUUUAUGAGACUGCAGUGCAAUAAAUUACUUAGCCUAAUUGUAGAUGUAAUGAAUUACCAUAAUUAGUCAUGGGCUACAUUAAAUUAAUCAGCAUGGUACAUUAUUUUGCUAAAUUACAUCUUUGCCUUCCAAAGCCACCAGUGCAGCAAUCAGUGCUUUCUGCAAGAGGGGAACGAUGCUAUAAUGAGACGCUUUCUGCUCCGAGCCCGGUGACAGGAUAUGAAUUUUGAUGGGAGGCAGGAAGGUUUGGAAACACCGGAGUUUCAGCUUGUGCCUGAAGUGUCUUUGGUUGUUAAUGACACCCGGUCCUCCUGCAGGGGGGCGGUGGGCUGUGUCUGGGCAAGGUUCUGGAAGAUUCCCCUCGCAGGGGAAGAAAAACACUUAGAUGGUGCUUUAAGGCAAAUAAUAUAGCUGAUACAACAAGUCACAAAGCAGUGGGGUGGCAGAAAGAUAAUGUCUUUGAAAAUAUUAAUAGAUUUAGAAUGUUCUUUUACAUUGGUUGAUGAGAUUUAUAGUUACCAGGUAUUUUUUUAUGGUGAUGAUUAUUAUUCAUACCGUUUGGAGCCAAGAUAAAGCCUGUAGCUAUUUUUGUUUUUUACUUAAACCUCCAGCUGUUCAAGAUCUCGCCUCGGCUGCACAGUGGGUGAUCUGGAGGCAACCCGCAGACGAUCUAAAUAUUAUUCACUAUUCAGGAAAACGCCGGGCAGCUCACAGGCCCCGCUGGCUGGGCAUAUAGGUGCCUGCUUUUGUGAAAGGUCUUUUUUUCCUCCUUACAGUGGGGCUGGGGGGACAUUUUGUCAGGGAAACCAGAGAAAAUGAGGUAUUUCACUGUGUUAACUCUUGGUGUGAAAUACCUUUGCAAGCUCCACUCUUUGGAAAAGCAAUGUUCCUUCUCAACCCAGUUGCCUGAUCCUUUGCCUUCACACGCUGCUGUGAAAGAGAGUUGCUGCAGUGGGAUUGUCUUGAUCCCAGAGCAAGUUCUUUGGGGUUUUUAUAAUAUUUUCAAGAGCCUCUUGGCUUGAGAGAGGAACUGUUUCCUACCUGUGCAUCUGUGGGAGGGAAAUACAAGGAAGGCUCUAGGACAGCGUUGGUGUUUUGUUUGUACAUUUGUCUGCCUACACCAAAGGAAGACGAGUUGUCAACCAAUGUGGAAGCAGGGUUAGAGUAGAGCGUCACGGAGAAUGACUAUGAUAUGCGCACAAUCUUUAAAUAGUGGAAGUGAAUUAAAACCUAAUAUCCAGAGAAGUCUACAAAUAACGGUUGGUCACAGCUGUAGAAAAAUGCAUAGGGAUGCAGAAAAGCCCUGUAUUGUAAUUUGUGUUUUUGUCCUGGUGGGAACCCAUUUAAUUAGUGCAAGAAGGUAUUGAAUUUUAGCUUAUCAUGCAUAUUGUUUUCCAGCUGUACUGAAGAUUGCCAAGUUCCUAAUGGCCUGACCCUGUUCUGUAAAUCAGCAGUAAAUGCGGCAUUUACACCGAGCAAAGGCAAAGGGCUCAUUCUGUUGGGUUUGUGCUGUCACAGGAACCUGGGCGAAGGGAUUAAUGGGCUGAUGUUAAACAUCUGUCCCCUGUCUUUGGGGGGACGUAAACACACAAAGAGGGAAUCUAAUGCCAUCUACUAAAAGAUCUUCAAUGAGAGGAAGCCCUUGCUAACAUUUCCAUCCAGUGGCACCGUAGACACAUUGCCUCUUUAUGCUAAAACCCCACAGCACUAAGGGCCCUAUAAAUAGUCUCCGUGUGACAGCUCGGAGAAGAAGAGAGGUUUCCUCCAGACAUUAGUUGUGCUAAAAGAUUCAUCAUUACCUGCAGUCAUGAAAUAAAUCUUUGAUACUUACAACUAUAAUAUCCAUGCUCUACGUUUUAUUGCAGAUAUAGGUAGACAGUCAUUAUUUCUGACACUUUCUCAGCAUUACAGGGAGGACUCUAGGGGGAAAACUAGUGUACGGUGUUACAGAAAUAGAUUGAUAUAACCACAUGGAAACCAGUUACUUUAUUGAGCCAUUGUAACCAAGACAAUAUUCCCUUAAUGAUAUUAAACAAUCACAUAGAUUUCCAAAUUCAAUGUAAGACCCUGAUCUAAAAACAACCUCGGUUAUCUACCAAUUAAGUCACCAAGAGGGAAAUGUAUUUGUUUUACAUCAUAUGGUAGUUUAGACAAGAUAUAUUCCUGAAUGAGAGCGGGUUUUUUAAGCAUUAAAGUUUAUUAUUAUUUAGGGGACAUUAAAACAAGACAAUGGUCAACAACAGUCACUUUAUAGCACUUGUGGGACAUCAGAAUUCAGCGUGUUGAGAACCUCUUGUUAAGAGGUCUUGGAGUGGUUACAGUACAGUAGAUACUGGUGUCACAUAAAUUGCAGUAACACGAUUUAUCAUACAGAAGAGGUGUUAAAAUUGUCGUUGGCCAUGAGCUAUUUAAGAGAGAGGCUCCUGCAUGCCGUUUUUGAGUCCAAGAAGUGAGUUAUGGGAUCCUGGAAGAGUCCCCGCUUACCCAGAAGUCACUGCUUUUAGCAAUCCUGGUCUACUUUUCAAUAUCCCUGACUUAACAGCCAGGGCAGAAUCGCAACUUUCCUUGAUAGUUUCAUCAUAUGCCCGUUGUCACUAAACUGGCACGUGUUCUAGCAGCUCUGGAAGGCCAUCUGGUAAACCCGGGACCACCUGCUCUCCCAGACCAGUCCCUGGAUCACUGAACUCAGCUAGUAGUAGCCACUUUGGAAAAGAGUCAUCAAUUCAAAAAGGAAUCUGUGUGUUUGCAUAUUUAAAGCCACAAUAAUUAUUGGUAGACUCUGCAUAACAAAUGUAAUUUCAAUUAGACUGUUUUUCUAAAUUAAAAACUAUUGCUUGUGGGU